AGCAAAAAUCAAUACAAUAGAAAGAACUGCCGUAAACUAUAUUAAUAUUAAUAAUCAGAAUUGUAAUGUAGUGAAAAGGACAAAAAACAAAGACGUUGCAGGACCAUAAGACGUCAAGUUACAUAGCACCGAAAUCGUAAACGGAAAUAUUGCCGCUUUGCAUUAGGAUUGCUUAUCAGUGCUGUGCUUGGCAACCAUUUGUGCGUUAAACCAGGUGGAGUCGGGCAUAACUCGCAUUGCGUACUUGGUUGCGCCUUUUGGAGCCAAGAUUGGUUAUGUGACCGCCUCGCUCACCUUAAAUGUGCUGUGAUCACAGGUAGACCUACGGAUGCUGCUGGGAAUUUCUCGGAAAAUCUACGGUUGUCAUGUCCCGACUGUUGGCAAAAAAAGAGACUUGUUUGAGUUAGUUGGACUUCUGGGAUUGUCCUCGAAAUGAGACAGGCCUGGUGUGGCCACCCCCUCCGGGGACAUUGGAUCGGCCUCAACCUU